AUGUUGUUCUCUAGCCUGCUGAAGAUGGUUAUAGCUUCGAUGUGGCUAGCAUCUGGCAUUGCCCAGAAGGUAAUUCAAGCUCAACAAGCAGUGUUGGUGCAAGAGAAGGAGGUUGUGACUCUGAACUGCACAUAUGACACCACUGUUAGAAGUUAUAGUCUAUUCUGGUACAAGCAGCCCAGCAGUGGAGAGAUGAUACUCCUUAUUCAUCAGCUCUCUUAUGACCGGGAAAAUGCAACAGAAGGUCGUUACUCAUUGAAUCUCAGGAAGUCAAGCAAAUCUAUCAGCCUUGUCAUCUCAGCAUUACAAUUGGGGGACUCAGCAAUGUAUUUCUGUGCACUGAUGCAGGCACAGUGA